rnacentral:rRNA from 1 species
UACGUAGGUGGCGAGCGUUAUCCGGAAUUAUUGGGCGUAAAGAGCGCGCAGGUGGUUGAUUAAGUCUGAUGUGAAAGCCCACGGCUUAACCGUGGAGGGUCAUUGGAAACUGGUCGACUUGAGUGCAGAAGAGGGAAGUGGAAUUCCAUGUGUAGCGGUGAAAUGCGUAGAGAUAUGGAUGAACACCAGUGGCGAAGGCGGCUUCCUGGUCUGUAACUGACACUGAGGCGCGAAAGCGUGGGGAGCAAACAGGAUUAGA